UCUUAUGAAUGAGCAUAGAAAGGGGUUUCUUGAGAUGGAAUCUACUCCUCUUGAAGAUGCUGUAAA
rnacentral:pre_miRNA from 1 species